CCUCCUUUCUUCCUCCUUUUUUCCUCUUUCCCCCUUUUGUCCCCCCUGCUGCCGUCACGCCGCGUGAGUGAAGAAGUCAUUCGUGAUGUAAAGCUCUAUCAGCAGGGAAGAAAAUGACGGUACCUGACUAAGAAGCCCCGGCUAACUACGUGCCAGCAGCCGCGGUAAUACGUAGGGGGCAAGCGUUAUCCGGAUUUACUGGGUGUAAAGGGAGCGUAGACGGCGACGCAAGUCUGAAGUGAAAUGCCAGUGCUCAACACUGGAACUGCUUUGGAAACUGUGUGGCUAGAGUGCAGGAGAGGUAAGUGGAAUUCCUAGUGUAGCGGUGAAAUGCGUAGAUAUUAGGAGGAACACCAGUGGCGAAGGCGGCUUACUGGACUGUAACUGACGUUGAGGCUCGAAGGCGUGGGGAGCAAACAGGAUUAGAUACCCCGGUAGUC
rnacentral:rRNA from 1 species